UACGGGGGGGGCAAGCGUUGUUCGGAAUUACUGGGCGUAAAGGGCUCGUAGGUGGCCAACUAAGUCAUGCGUGAAAUCCCUCGGCUUAACCGGGGAACUGCGUCUGAUACUGGAUGGCUUGAGUUUGGGAGAGGGAUGCGGAAUUCCAGGUGUAGCGGUGAAAUGCGUAGAUAUCUGGAGGAACACCGGUGGCGAAGGCGGCAUCCUGGACCGAUACUGACGCUGAGGAGCGAAAGCCAGGGGAGCAAACGGG
rnacentral:rRNA from 1 species